rnacentral:sRNA from 1 species
ACACGAGAAGGGAGGUGGUUCGGCCAGAUGUACAACAACCGGACGCGUGAGGUGGCUGCGGCCUGACGGCCGUCGUCACAGCGUGACGCCGGCGUCGCCGGCCAAUCCCAAGCAGUCACCCAGCCCGCGGGCCCGUCGGACUCGUCCGACCGGCGCCCCUCCGCCACCGGCGGUGGGGAGCAGCCCGCGGGCUGCUUUCU